UACGUAGGGGGCUAGCGUUAUCCGGAAUUACUGGGCGUAAAGGGUGCGUAGGUGGUUUCUUAAGUCAGAGGUGAAAGGCUACGGCUCAACCGUAGUAAGCCUUUGAAACUGGGAAACUUGAGUGCAGGAGAGGAGAGUGGAAUUACUAGUGUAGCGGUGAAAUGCGUAGAUAUUAGGAGGAACACCAGUUGCGAAGGCGGCUCUCUGGACUGUAACUGACACUGAGGCACGAAAGCGUGGGGAGCAAACAGGAUUAGAUACCCCCGUAGUCCCUGAGCGGG
rnacentral:rRNA from 1 species